rnacentral:rRNA from 1 species
AUCUGGUUGAUCCUGCCAGUAGUCAUAUGCUUGUCUCAAAGAUUAAGCCAUGCAUGUGUCAGUACAUACUUUUACAUAGGGAAACCGAGAAUGGUUCAUUAAAUCAAUUAUGGUUCCUUAGAUUGUUCAAUCAUACUUGGAUAACUGUGGUAAUUCUAGAGGUAAUACAUGCAACAAAGCUCCGACCCUAUGGGAAAGAGCGCGUUUUUUAGAUCAAAACCAGUCGGGUCGCAAGACCCGUCCGAUUGGUGAAACUGGAUAACUUUGUGCUGAUCGCACGGCCUCGCGCCGGCGACGUAUCUUUCAAAAGUUUGCCCUAUCAACUUUCGAUGGUAAGUGAUAUGCCUACCAUGGUUGUAACGGGGAACGGGGAAUCAGGGUUCGAUUCCGGAGAGGGAGCAUGAGAAAAGGCUACCACCUCCAAGGAAGGCAGCCGGGGC